CCUACGGGGGGCUGCAGUAAGGAAUAUUGGUCAAUGGAGGAAACUCUGAACCAGCCAUCCCGCGUGAAGGAUGAAGGGGCUCUGCCUUGUAAACUUCUUUUGUCUGGGGCGAAAAAGCUCGAUUUAUCGAGAACUGACGGUACCAGAAGAAUAAGCACCGGCUAACUCCGUGCCAGCAGCCGCGGUAAUACGGCGGGUGCAAGCGUUAUCCGGAAUCGGGGGGUUUGGAGGGUUAGUAGGCGGCUGGGUAAAGGCUGUGGCUUAACCAUGGAAUUGCCAUUGAUACUGCAGAGCUUGAAUGAGGUUGAGGUUGGCGGAAGGUGACAUGUAGCGGUGAAAUGCCUAGAUAUGUCAUGGAACACCGAUUGCGAAGGCAGCUGACUGGACCUAUAUUGACGCUGAGGCACGAAAGCGUGGGGAGCGAACAGGAUUAGAUACCCCGGUAGUC
rnacentral:rRNA from 1 species